AAACGGUCGAGCGGUUGAAGUAUUUAUUUAUUUAUCUAGAUCCUGGAGUUAACUCCUUGGGACCAUAUUUCUUUUACAUUUAUUACAAGAUAAAGAAGUUAUCUCAAAUGGCAGCGAACUCCAAAAAUUACAACCUGCUACACCUGCUACAACAAAUGAUCGCUGAUAUGUAGUGGUUCUAGCAAAUGGUCAUUUAAGAGUAUUUGUUUUUCCUACAUCACGCCGCGAAGCAAUAUUUAACCUAAGAUCAAGCUGAUCACCAAACAACCCCGGCCGCAUGAGACACAAUGCUUUAUAAAACUCACAAGCUAUCAACAGAAGCCUACGGUUCUGAACCGUAAGCCACCCAAGCCGCCUCCGAUAUUGUGAUAUAUGUUCUCGGCGCCUGAUCCGAAGUAUAUAUCUCACACAAUUAUUAAGUGAUACUUGUAACGAUCUUUCAAGUUCUACUGACAGAUUCGUCAGAACACACGCACAAUAAUCAUAGAUAGGCAGUAAGUACCAAGUAUUCAUCUCGUAUGAUGAACAAUCCUCUUAAAUAAAUAGUUUAUUAAUUAAAAAAUACCUAGCUACGGAAUUCGGUUACAAUAAUUGUAUAAAUAAUCGCAAAGAUGUCAAUGUCGUUAAUAAUCAUUGACUGAAAAAUGUUAUACUGUAUAAUGUUAUACUGAAAAAUUUUGAAAUUUCAUUUUAUUCAAUGUAUACAUAUAUAUAACGAGUGUAACGAACACUUAAAGAUUAAAAGUAAAUCUUUGAUAAUAGUUUUGAAGAAAUUUCCAUUUUGUUGUUUUUUAAUAAAUAUCUACGGAAUUAAUUAUUUCAAAAAAGCCGUGAGCUAAGUUAAUGGCGCCGAUGGACGAAGGAAGAAUAUAAGAUUGUCAUCCAGGAUCGAGCCGCUAAUCAUUGCUGAAAUCUUGUGGAAUAUUUUGCUGUAACUUUCAAAUUAUUUUUUCCGAGUGGAUUCAAAAGCUGAAGAGGAAAUUGAAAAAUCGAGGUGCCA